UACGUAGGGGGCAAGCGUUGUCCGGAUUUAUUGGGCGUAAAGAGCGUGUAGGCGGCCAGGUAGGUCCGUUGUGAAAACUGGAGGCUUAACCUCCAGCUGUCGAUGGAAACCAUCUGGCUAGAGUCCGGAAGAGGUGAGUGGAAUUCCGAGUGUAGAGGUGAAAUUCGUAGAUAUUCGGAGGAACACCAGUGGCGAAGGCGGCUCACUGGUCCAUUACUGACGCUGAGGUGCGAAAGCGUGGGGAGCAAACAGG
rnacentral:rRNA from 1 species